ensembl:scaRNA small Cajal body-specific RNA 8
UGGGAGGGUGAUACUCGGGCAUUGGUCUGUCUUGUCCUGUCCGUCACAAAUCCUCCCUAUAGCAUCUCUGUCUUUCUUUGACUGCAGUUAGUGGAGAGAAAUCACUGCAGACAGAUACGGGGCAUACAAUA